UUUUCCAGAUUGCAGGCUGCACCCGCACUACAGCAUCCCUUAAUGAGGGACUUCAGCAACCUGAAAUGAUCUGAAAUGAUAACCCAGCAGCCUGGAGACAUGCUGCUUUGAUUUAAUGAUCGUCUUUAAAGUCAAUCUGCAAGGAACCAGGAUAAAGGAGCAAAACAACGUGCCACCACAAAAACAAGGAGUGUCAGAGGCUACAGCUAAAAAGUUUUGCCCACAUGACUACUGGAACAGGAGCUGGACAAAGAUGAUACCAGUAGACAUGCUAAUUGGCUCACAAAGCCUCAACCCUACACACAGAACUAUAGGCAACUAAGGAUUGCUGAGAGUGGGAGAGAUAGCCUUCCCCAAGGAAGAGUACCGUUGGUUAUCCAGUACCCAGUGGUUGGUUAUCCAGUAUUCAGUGGUUUCCAAGUGCAGAGAUUACACGUGUGAGCCACCACACUCUGACUGAAAGAGAAAUCUGCACCGAAUGAUAACAAGCUUUAAAAAUAGCACGCACUGCCAUGACUUAGAAACUACAAAUCCAUCUUCCCAGACAAGACAUGCUUAUACAACGUACUUGCUCCUUUUUGAGCAACAUAAUUUUACUGAAAAAAAAAAAGACAAAAAGAUGGAUAAUUGUCCUGUAAACUAAAAAGGAUGAAAUGUCUUCUUCUACAAGGACAGAAAGCCUAUUGCAUCUUGUGUAAGCAGACACCCAGGCCA
rnacentral:lncRNA from 1 species